UAAAUUCAUUUCGACAACAAGAUUACGUGAGCCGUUCUGUCUGAUUUUGAAACACUAACCGACAAAAACCAAAGUUACUUGAAGUUUCCGAAUCACGAGGUUCCAUUUCGCUAACUCAUUGUCUAUAUAAAGCCCCACGAUGCUUGUUAUCUCCUUCAAAACACAGCUCUCUCUCUCUCUCUCUCUACAAACCUUCUUAACCUCACGAGACAAACAUACCCGAAAAUGGGAGCUUGCGGUUCAAGUGAAUCUAGGAGAACAGACACAGCGAAGCUAAUAUUACAAGACGGAACGUUACAAGAGUUUACGUCACCUGUAAAAGUGUGGCAGAUUCUUCAGAAGAAUCCCACGAGUUUUGUUUGUAACUCAGACGAUAUGGACUUCGACGACGCAGUUAUAGCAGUCGGUGGCAGCGAGGAUCUCCGGCCUGGAGAGCUUUACUUCGUUUUACCGUUAACAUGGCUGAAUCAUCCAUUAAGAGCAGAGCAAAUGGCUGCUUUGGCGGUUAAAGCGAGCUCUGCGCUUAACAAAAGUGGCUGGAGUUGUGGCGAUGAUGGUGAUGCGAGAAAGGUCUCUGGUGGUGAGUGUGGUAGAGUUAAGAGAGUAAAAAGAAAUAGUUGCGGCGGAAGAGGCUGUGGUGGUGGCGGUAAAGGGAGGAGGAAGUUUACGGUGGAGUUGAGUUCGAUAGCUGAGUAGGGUAAUGUGGUUGUGUAAAUUGUAAUUACAGAGUUUUUUUUUUCCUUAAAUCUUAAACAUGUAGUUUAUUUUGUUGUUGUACAAAUAUUCUUUUGGGUAAAUAUUUCCAUUAAUAUCAAAAGUUUAAGAUUGAUUACAGAAAUAAUAUACAAAAUCAAUAAAAGCAGAAUAAAGGCUCCUCUCCACGUCCUCAAUUAUAAUCAACCAAUAGAAAACCACCGUUCAGCCACGUCAUUUUAUUUCUAUCGGGCUUAAAAUUCACAAUUUCUCUAUUGGACCUUCCCUCAUCUAUGGCCCAGUCAAUAUCACAAAAUAAAACCCUAAUACCCAUCUGUAUCGACGUUCUUCUUCGUCUUCUCCGUUUCCUCAUCAUCCAAACUCCAUUACUGACCCUAACUGCUAUCAAUCAAUCUUCUUCACUACCCUCUUAAUGAAUUCGUUUCAUCUUGCUAUAUUUCUCCUUCUUUAUAAACCAUUUCGUCUUCAAUGGCUUCCAUUCAGUCUCGAAAUUCGCCUCCUCUCAAGAAGUUGCAGCUAUGGCUACGAAACCAAACGACAAGUCUAUUGUCUCCACCGGAAAGUCCCCAGUUGCCAUGUACUUUAACGAUAUCUCACCAGGUCCACAUGAAUCCGAAUUACGGUUCUGGCUGAUACAUUUCUGGGAGGCUAGAAACAUAGCAAAAGCAAAAACUCUUAUUGGUCUGGAAAAUCUCAUGAUCGAUGAACAGAUGUUGUUGGCCACAUGAAGCUGGUCAAUGGACAGACUCUCAUUAAGCGUCCCCGAAACGUCUAGGAGGUACCCUUGCCCUCAGCUCAUUGUCAUCCUCACGGGUUUUCAUGGACUAUGAUGUCCAACCAACAAUUGAUUACUUCAACUGGAUGGGUUCUAAACCAUAGAUUCAGGAGCUGGUUAAUGCGGAGGUGGUAACUAAGGCUGAGACAAUGACUAUUGCAGAAAUAUAUGCCUACAUCAAGCAGGAAUCUGCGAAGCUUUUUUUGAGUGCAUAGCCACCAUUGAUGAUGUUGUACGUGACUCUGCUUGGUAUUAUAUUGCCUGCAGUGGCUGCCAUACUAAGGCCAUCAAAGGUCCUACUUCUUUGAUGUGUCCUAAAUGUGGCAACGAUAACGUAGCCGGUGUUCCACAGUAUGAGCUCUAUCCUCAAUACUCACUUAAACCUUGGCUGGAAUUGACGUUUUAUUUCUCUUAAUAACAGGUACCGUGCGAAGAUCUCCGUGUACGACAAUAACGAGCAGGCUGUUUUCGUCCUACUUGGUGAGGCUGGUCGUGAGUUGUCUGGGAAACAUGCAGCAGAAGUAGUUGACAGCUACUUUGAGGUAAAUUGCCAUCACACUAUAUAUAACCCCAAGUUAUUUAACCUCGAAUGUUAGGCUAAUCAAAACCUUGGAGCUGACCAUCAGAUACCUGUCGCUGAAGCUUUAAUCAACACUAUUGGUCAAACACAUAAAUUCAGUGUCAAGGUAUCGGACCACAACUUAACAGGGAAGACACAGACUAUAACUGUCACAAAGAUUCUCUCUCCAGCAGUUCUGCCAGCUGGAACAGCCUCAGUCGAAAACUAUGUUGCUCUAACAUCCGAAGCAGCUGGAGAUCAUGCAAGCGAGGGAAUAAAAGUACCUGUCACAGUGAAGAACCAAAGAAAGCAAAGCGUCCAAAACAAGACAAUUAGAGCUUCCACCACUCAUCUCAGAGGUCUCAAGCCUUCGUUGCAGUUUCAGUUUCCUUUUUUCUUUUGAGCCUAGACUUAGUUUCCCUUUAACUCACUAUUUCAGUGUUUGGUUUUCCUGUGAGAGUAGAGCUUACCCACUAUACGCUGAUCAUGAACGCCUUUGUUGCAGUUUCAGUCAUCAGUUAUCAGUUUAAACAUUCACUAAUGCUUCCCUUUCAGUGUUAUUUUUAAAUCUUUGCAAACAA